AUUGAACGCUGGCGGCAGGCCUAACACAUGCAAGUCGAGCGGAUGAAGGGAGCUUGCUCCUGGCUUCAGCGGCGGACGGGUGAGUAAUGCCUAGGAAUCUGCCUGGUAGUGGGGGCUAACGUCCGGAAACGGGCGCUAAUACCGCAUACGUCCUGAGGGAGAAAGGGGGGGAUCUUCGGACCUCACGCUAUCAGAUGACACUAGGUCGGAUUAGCUAGUUGGUGGGGUAAAUGCCUACCAAGGCGACGAUCCGUAACUGGUCUGAGAGGAUGAUCAGUCACACUGGAACUGAGACACGGUCCAGACUCCUACGGGAGGCAGCAGUAGGGAAUAUUGGACAAUGGGCGAAAGCCUGAUCCAGCCAUGCCGCGUGCGUGAAGAAGGUCUUCGGAUUGUAAAGCACUUUAAGUUGGGAGGAAGGGCAGUAAGUGAAUACCUUGCUGUUUUGACGGUACCAACAGAAUAAGCACCGGCUAACUUCGUG
rnacentral:rRNA from 1 species